rnacentral:tRNA from 1 species
GGGCGCCUAGCUCAGUUGGUAGAGCAGCUGACUCUUAAUCAGCGGGUCAGAGGUUCGAUUCCUCUGGCGCCCA